AGCGAGGCAGCGCGCUGCAGCCCUGUAGAACGCUGGAGGCGGGAAGGGGCCGGGGUAGUGAAAGGCGCCUGAGCGCCCGGCCGAGCCUCCCAGCCGCCGCCGCUGUCCGUCCAGCCGGGAGACCCGGUCCUGGCUCGGGGGAGCGGGGAUUAGAUGGCACUCCAAAAGGAAAACAGAAUGACUAUCCAAAACUGCAAAUAAGGCUGAACAGGAAUCCAAGAGAGGAAGUCCAAGGAAGAGGGCCAAGAAGGGCGACAGCAGUUAGCAAGAGAAGCGGGUGCAGGGGCAGCCCAUCUGCCCUACUGCCUAGUGUCUGCCUUGGAAGCACUUUUGAGAGAGAG